CACAGUAUGAGUGCAGUUCUACAUGGUGAUGACCAGCAUGGGAUAAGAGCUAUUUUUGUGUUUUGAUUGAGUAAUAAAGAUAUGGAUGGAAAAUGGAUACCAUAUGACACAUGACUACUGGAUGGUUGAAUUUUCUCUCCUCUACAGGCAUGGUUUAUCAAGCAAGGGAAAUAAUGACUAAGACGAAGAAAAUCACUGCUUAUCACUGAGGUCUUCUGAAAGCCAUUUACAACGUAACCUAUGGUUUUCUGUUCAGGAGUCUUAAGACUUAAUAUAGGAGUAAUUUAUUGUGUUGAGGUUUAGUUUGUGGAUGUUAUGUUGGUUUCUAAGCCCCGAGGUGUAGGGGGUCUUUGUAAAAUUGUGACUAAAUUAGAGAUAAUGCGGAGAUAUAACUGUAGCAGACGGCAAGUUGACAGCAGGAUAUGGGAGUUUUGUAAGCCACAUCCAAACCACUGAUGUUUGAUUUGGGUUUUUACUGAUUUAGAUAUGAAAAAAGUCUACUUGAUUAAAUCAUCUCAAUAUAUAUAUAUGGGAAAACCUUAAAAAUUGAUCGCUCAUUUCCUGGUUUUUUGAAUAAAAUUAACCAUUCAUAAAUUACAACUCAUGGUUUUGAAUACAGGUGCACAAGUUGUCUAAGUUGACAAGCGUCAGAUUAAUAUCUAAAUCUUCAAACGGGCAGACUUUACACAGCUCUGUUUCAUAAUCCAAAUGUCCACUUGUCACCUGCUUGCUUUCUGCUACCCUCUACAUUGGAAAUGGGUAUUGCAUGUUCCCAAGUGUUAAAUAAGAAAUAUUUGUAUCUCAUUGAGGCACUUGAGUUUGCUAUUGAAAUCAGUAAUCAACUCUCUUGACAUAGGGGAUAACCCGCACUUUCGCUGUAGUUGGCACUAAGCAGACGUUUUCACUUUUCAAGGGUCCCCACAACUGCCAGAGGAUUUGUUGCCAGGCACAUGUCACCGUGAGGCACAAUUAUUGCUGCAGCUAAUUUACAACCACUUUAUUAAAUCCUGGUUCAAGUAAGAAGGAUAGGAUGCUAUUUGUAUUAGUUAUAAUCAGUGUUCAUUCUUUGGCUUCCACAACAAGCUUGAACCUUCUGUAGAAUGAUGUGACCACUGUAAUUCUUGUGCUAUACAGUUAUGUAGGUAUACGUAAUGAACAAUGGUACAAUGCAGUAAACAAUAGAGUUAUGUGUCUGGAAAUUGCACUUAGGGUUUCAGGGUUAAAUGUUCUUGAUCCAUUCCUAAUCCUUUUCUGGUACCUUAUGUUGUCUAUCACCUUUCUACAAUGAACUCUGUUCUGCAUGACUUCAUCAUCCUCGUCUUUCUUUAACGGGUGAAAUUGGCUCUACUAGAUAUUGUCAUUACUUAAACAAUUGCCAUUGUCUUUGUAAAAGGACCAUUUGAACUACAUUUAGAAAUGUAAUUAUUUUAAUUUUUGUUGAUCUCAUAGGGGAAUUGAUUGUAGGGAUUUCAGGAGCUGUCAAAACAGAUCUUUUUGCCCUUAGGGCUUGAGUGUUUGUGAUUUUGUGAACCUUUGUAUGAGAAAAAUAGAUCUUUCAGAAUGCACAGUUUGAAAGCCUUUUAAAGCCUAGUUAAUGUGUACUACAGAAUGAUGGCAAGGGUGAGAUUCUCUAAAAGUGAUCAGCUUAAUAUAAAUCCCAAGGCUGUACUUUUAAACAGUGGUGCUAUGUGAUAUUUUCAGUCCAGCUGAAUGUCACUUAAAUAUUUUUUUCCAUAAAGGUACGGAAUGUAAAUUAUUUAGAUGCUUCCUAAUAAUGUGGGGGGAAUGCCAGUUCCUGUGGUGACAUGCCAUAUAUGUUUCCAAAUACUGUGUCAAAGGAUGACAAAAAUGAUGGAUAUAAUGAUCUAAUAAUCUAUUUCUGUGGUCAGAGCCAGGGUUAGAGGGGUGACUGUCAACCUGGCAAUCAGAGGAGGUGUCUUGUCAAAGGCUUAUGACUCCUCUUAUCAACUUGAAAUUACUAAGUGUAAUGAUUAUGCCUUUAUUCAGAUGAUAAAUACCAAGUAUGGAGCACUUUAGAUGGAA
rnacentral:misc_RNA from 1 species